AUUGUUUGUUCCUCCGGAUGAUCUGUGCCUGGCCCCCGCAGCUGCCUGGAGAAUUGUGAGCGGCCUGUGCAGGCUGAAGUUCUCCAUCUGUCCUGUGCGCACUUGUUUUCGCCUGUGGGUAAAUGAGAGGAAAGUUUUGAGAGAGAAAAAAAUGCACCUCAAGCCCAGGCACAUCUUCUGUUCAUAACUCUUUCGUUUCAGCUCUAGGUGUUUUGUCACUGUAUUUCCUCGUCGCCCCGAGAAACUGGGCUUGUCCUCAUUUUACUGUCGAGGAAGCAGAGGCUGCCUCUUCUCUGAGACGUGAGCGAGCCGACUGUUGGCCGGGAGAGGAGCUGGGAGCCGGAUAUAGACUUCCCGGAAGGCUGGAGCAGCAGAG